GCCCACGUAGCUCAGUUGGUAGAGCAACUCCAUGGUAAGGAGUAGGUCAGCGGUCCAAAUCCGCUCGUGGGCUCCA
rnacentral:tRNA from 1 species